AGAGGCUUAUUUAAGUGCUUAAUAACUGUUGGAAAGAAGUUACUGCAGAAGAAGCACCGGCUAACUCCGUGCCAGCAGCCGCGGUAAUACGGAGGGUGUUUCGCGUUAAUCGGAAUUACUGGGCGUAAAGCGUACGCAGGCGGUUUGUUAAGCCAGAUGUGAAAUCCCCGGGCUUAACGUGGGAACUGCAUUUGAAACUGGCAAGCUAGAGUCUUGUAGAGGGGGGUAGAAUUCCAGGUGUAGCGGUGAAAUGCGUAGAGAUCUGGAGGAAUACCGGUGGCGAAGGCGGCCCCCUGGACAAAGACUGACGCUCAUGUGUUAUUGCGUGGGGAGCAAACAGGAUUAGAUACCCUGGUGGUCCACGCUAUAAACGAUGUCAACUUGAAGGUUGUGCCCUUGAGGCGUGUUUUCCGGAGUUAACGCUUUAAGUCGACCGCCUGG
rnacentral:rRNA from 1 species